rnacentral:rRNA from 1 species
AUUGAACGCUGGCGGCAGGCCUAACACAUGCAAGUCGAACGAGUGGCGGACGGGUGAGUAAUGUCUGGGAAACUGCCUGAUGGAGGGGGAUAACUACUGGAAACGGUAGCUAAUACCGCAUACCAUCAGAUGUGCCCAGAUGGGAUUAGCUAGUUGGUGGGGUAACGGCUCACCAAGGCGACGAUCCCUAGCUGGUCUGAGAGGAUGACCGGCAAACAUGAAAUGAGGACAGGGUCCGGACCCCUAGGGGGGGCAGCAGGGGGGAAUAUGGAACAAGGGGGGCAAGCCUGUGGCGGCAAUGCGGCGUGUAGAAAGAGGGCCUUGGGGUUGUAAAGUACUUCAGCGGGGAGGCGUUACCCGCAGAAGAAGCACCGGCUAACUCCGUGCCAGCCGCCGCGGUAAUUC